rnacentral:rRNA from 1 species
UACGAAGGGGGCGAGCGUUGUUCGGAGUUACUGGGCGUAAAGGGCGCGUAGGCGGCGAUCCAAGUUAGGCGUGAAAGCCCCGGGCUCAACCUGGGAAUUGCGCUUAAGACUGGAUUGCUCGAGUGCGGGAGAGGUGAGUGGAAUUCCCAGUGUAGAGGUGAAAUUCGUAGAUAUUGGGAAGAACACCAGUGGCGGAGGCGGCUCACUGGCCCGCAACUGACGCUGAGGCGCGAAAGCGUGGGGAGCAAACAGG